AGAUAAUUUGGCUGUAGCAUCUGUCACCCCAUUAAUUGCCAAGGUUUAUUUCACUGAUCCGGCAGUAUAGUGGGUAUCCCCUUCCUCUCUCACUGCUCCUGAAGCUGAGUACUCUGCAGAAGAGGACAUCCUCCCCUGUUAGAAGAGGGCCAUUCUUUGAUCAAGAGUAUAUGAAUAGCUGCACACCCCUGCUAGAAUCUCUAAACAAGCUCUCAAG
rnacentral:lncRNA from 1 species